CCCAACACCCCCAAACCUACGCCGUCUCCGGAGUGACCUCCCCGAGAGCGGCGCGGCGCUGCCGUCAGCCAAGCCGCGCAGCCGCACGUUGUCGUAAACGGGCUCCGACGACGCGCCCCGCCCCUCGCACCCGGGACGUCCCUAGUGUGGAGUCGGUCAGGGAACACCGAGAACACAACAAAUAGAAGGGAACCGCAGCAUUUGGAAUGAACAUGGUCAGCCCUGCUAGUGAUGAAACAUCUGGAAAAUUAAAGCAGCCAGAAGGGGUUUCCCGGCUUUGCUUUCUCCCGCCUCUCUAGUCUAUCACCAAUGGAUUUCAUGUAACCCACCCUACAUCCCUCCCCUGACUGCAAUGUAUAAGUACAGAUGUAACCCGCCAUUCUCCAGAGCAUUAUCUCAAUUCAUUGAGGUUCUGCUUCCCUGCAUAUGUCGACAGUUUGGCUCAAAUAAACUCGCAAAAAUUCUUUACAGGUUUCAGUGUUUUUUUUACGUUAAUAGUAAUGAUUUUGAAAUGCCUAAAAUGUAUACUUCCUGGUAGGCAGUUAGACAUGAGCAGAGCAAGGACGAUAGGCCAGAAGGUCCCCGGGGUGGAAAGCCCGAGAUGCCUCGCAAUGGACAAUCAGUUGGAGGGUGGAACCUGGCUCUGACUUUUCCUCCCCUAGCCAACCCCUUCCCCCCCCCCCCCCCCCAGUCUUCCCUCCCUAGAGAUGACAUUGAGGCUUCAGUAGUAUUUUAGCUCCAGAAAUAAGCUAAACCAGCCAUCGCUGAUCUCAGAACCAGCUGCUUUGGUUUGGGUUUUUUGUUAAUCCUCAGCCAAGGAUAUUUUUCCAUUGAUUUUUUUAGAGAGAGGGGAAAGGAGAAGAGACAGAGAGAAACAUUGAUGUGAGAGAGACCCAUCGAUUGGUUGCCUCCUGCACAUACCCCAACCAGGGACCAGGGCCGGGGAACCUGCAACUGAGGUAUGUGCCCUUGACUGGAAUCAAACCCCAGACCCUUCCGUCCGAGGGCUGACGCUCUAUCCACUGAGCCAGUGCCCUGGUGCCCGCCAAUCAGUCAGUGAAGACCACAACCCUAAAAGGACACACCUGGAAAACUGCUUAAUACUAACAAAAACAAGAAAAAACAAACAAAAAUAUUCUAUUAAGAUCUCCUGGGACCUCCCCUAAAAUCUCCACCCUUAAAACCCUUAGGCAGAGGAACCAUUGCACUUGCCCUCCUGGGAAUAUGCCCAUGCCUUUCCCUAACCCUCUCCCCCUCCCUGCCCCAGGCAUGCUACCAUUAGCUUCCUCACUCCAAGCUUUCAGGGCCCUUCCUUUACCUCCAUAACUUGUUUUCUAAGCCCAUUUAUUCUAGGAAUUACUUCUAUGUCUGUGAUUUACCCAAUAAAUGUUCUCUUACAGAGCCAAACUGCCUGGGUAAUGAGCCUGGGGCCAGGAGGAGUUGGGGAAGGGACAAGCAUGGGUGUGCUCCGGGAGGAAGAGCACACUGGGCUGUCCAUCCUAAGAAUUUUAGAGGAGGUCCCACGGGAAGAUUUCAAUGAAAUACUCAGUAGCUUUCCAGGUUUGUCCAUUCAGAGUUGUGGUCUCCACUGAUUGUUUGGCCAGCACCAGGGCACAGGUG